rnacentral:rRNA from 1 species
CGGGUGAGUAAUGUAUGGGGAUCUGCCUGAUGGCGGGGAUAACUACUGGAAACGGUAGCUAAUACCGCAUAACGUCGCAAGACCAAAGAGGGGGACCUUAGGGCCUCUUGCCAUCGGAUGUGCCCAGAUGGGAUUAGCUAGUAGGUGGGGUAACGGCUCACCUAGGCGACGAUCCCUAGCUGGUCUGAGAGGAUGACCAGCCACACUGGAACUGAGACAUGGUCCAG